rnacentral:sRNA from 1 species
UUCGAUGUCUAGCAGUGC